rnacentral:tRNA from 1 species
GGAAAUGUGCCUGAGAAUUAAGGAUUACUUUGAUAGAGUAAACUACAGGGACUACACUCCCUCAUUUCCU